UACGUAGGGUGCAAGCGUUGUCCGGAAUUAUUGGGCGUAAAGAGCUCGUAGGCGGCUUGUCACGUCGGGUGUGAAAGCCCGGGGCUUAACCCCGGGUCUGCAUUCGAUACGGGCUAGCUAGAGUGUGGUAGGGGAGAUCGGAAUUCCUGGUGUAGCGGUGAAAUGCGCAGAUAUCAGGAGGAACACCGGUGGCGAAGGCGGCUCACUGGCCCAUUACUGACGCUGAGGCACGAAAGCGUGGGGAGCAAACAGG
rnacentral:rRNA from 1 species